GUCUUGUCAGUGAUGUUUCCAAACACAAAUGUCUGAACAUAUGACUUUCUGUGAUUCGUGCUUUCUAACUGAGACAAGAC
rnacentral:snoRNA from 1 species